UGGGGAAUUUUUCACAAUGGGCGCAAGCCCGAUGGAGCGACGCCGCGUGGGGGAUGAAUGGCUUCGGCCCGUAAACCCCUGUCAUUUGCGAUCAAACCUCACAACUUAAUACGUCGUGAGUUGAUAGUAGCAAAAGAGGAAGGGACGGCUAACUCUGUGCCAGCAGCCGCGGUAAUACGGAGGGGGCAAACGUUGUUCGGAAUCACUGGGCGUAAAGGGUGCGUAGGCGGUUCGGUAAGUCUGGUGUGAAAUCCCGCAGCUUAACUGCGGAACUGCAUUGGAAACUGCCGAGCUCGAGGAUGGGAGAGGCUGGUGGAAUUCCUGGUGUAGCGGUGAAAUGCGUAGAUAUGCGUAGGAACACCAGUGGCGAAAGCGGCCUCCUGGCCCACUUCUGACGCUCAGACACGAAAGCGAGGGUAGCAAACUGGAUGAGAUACCCUGGUACCC
rnacentral:rRNA from 1 species